GAGACAUGUGAUUACUGCUGAUUGACAAAGUGAGCUGGGAUUGUCAUGGAGCCUGCUUGUCAGAUUGUCAAUUAACCUGCUCGUCAGAAUGUCAUUGAGCCUGUUUGUCGGAUUGCCAUGGAGCCUGCUUGUCAGAUUAUCAUGGAAUAUGCUUACCAGAUUGUCCAGGAACCUGCUUGCCGGAUUGUCAAGGAGCCUGCUUGUCAGAUUGUCAUGGAUCCGGCUUGUCAGAUUGUCACGGAGUCUGCUUGUCAGAUUGUCAUGGAGCCUACUUGUCAGAUUGUCAUGGAACGUGCUUGCCAGAUUGCCCUGUAGCCUACUUGUCAGAUUGUCAGGGAGCCUGCUUGUCAGAUUGUCAUGGAGCCUACUUGUCAGAUUGUGAUGUAGCCUACUUGUCAGAUUGUCAUGGAGCCUGCUUGUCAGAUUGUCAUGGAGCCUGCUUGUCAGAUUGUCAUGGAGCCUGCUUAUCGAUUGAAUAAAACAUAUGGAACAUGA